GGGCGUUAGCUCAGUUGGUUAGAGCGUUUGACUGGCAGUCAAGAGGUCGUGAGUUCGACUCUCAUACGCUCC
rnacentral:tRNA from 1 species